CUUUCUAAAUUUCUUCAAAUCCUCCUUAUGCUGGCUACCCUCAACCGAACCGAUUACUUUGCUGUGCCCAGGUUUCAUUCCCUCAUUUAGAUCAUCUAGAGGAAGAUUUCCUUCCAAAGCUCGAACUAUCUGCUUUUAUCAAGAAUGGUAAUUGGGUCAUAUGCCGUCAUAAAGAAUAAUGGUCAAACUAGAAUAUCUCAAUUCCAUAAAUGUGGUGGCGAUUUUGAACAAACAAAGGUCACUAACCAUCCUAAACUGUAAAGGCCAAGAAAAUAAAUAGAUGACUUAACAAAUUAAUAAAUUAUAUUCAUUAAUUAGAUGUGACCAAUAGUUAGAUUUUAAGUGACAAUAUUUAUAUUAUGAAAAUAAAAUACCAUGGUGUUAAGAUGAAUAAAUUAUAGUAGGUCUCAGUUGAGUAAAUAAUUAAUCACAUUAACCAAUGUGUUGAUAAGAUUAAAUGUGGGGUUAGAUAUUAAAUGUUAAAUGAUAGGAUUAAUAGAUUUGGGAGUCCUAGUAUAAAUAAUAAUAGUUGGGGGUUUAAAGAAUAAGGAAAUCUCCCCCCACUCACAAGGCGCCACGUGCCCCUUAUCUUUUCCUUUUCUUUUUUUUCCUCUCUCUUCCUCCCUCACGCACGGAUCCCUCUCCUUCUUCCUUCUCUUUUCUUCUUUUUCUCCCCUGAACCCCCCGCAACUCGUAUCAGUUUCUCCUCACCCGAACCCUUUCUCUCUUCUCUUUCUAUCCUCUUCUCUUCUCUUGCACUGCCUCCCCCUUUCUUCUUCUACCCAUGGCAAACCGAGAGAUGUGAGAGCCGAGAGAUGCUGAGAGAGAGAUGAGAUCGAGAGAGUUGAGGGAGAUGGAGUCCGAUCCUCCAGUGGGUGGCACCAACGAGACCAGAGGACGCCGGCUACGCGAUCUCCGGUGAGUCCGUGAACCAGAGAUAACCCGGGAGAGAGAGAACCCGGAACCCGUGCAACCCAUUGCCAAGUGACCCGAGACCCGUGAGGACCCGAUCCUCCAUGAUCAAUGGCCGAGACUGAAAUCCGGCGAUGGAGGAGCUUCGGCGGAACCCAGGGGCUUGAACCCACGACCCGUGAGCCCAGAAAAUCCGAGAACCCGUGACCGUGACCCGUGCGACCCGCAACCUGCCGGACCCGAGAAGAAGACCCGGUUCUUCAAAGUGAUUUCCGGCGGAAUCAGUGGCGUUUUUCGGUGGAUUUGCUAUGAAAAUCCUUGGGAUGAUGUUUCUUUGGCUGCAGGUACUUCGGUAUAGUUGAUGGGUUGGUAGCAGUGUACUUGAAAUAUUAUGACUGAAGCUCGCCGCGACAGUUGUAAUUGUCAUACCACGGUUUGUCCACUAUUUUAUAGGUUUGGUAUGACUUGUGACGUUUGUGUCACUUAUUCUUUGUAUAGCCAUAAUUGUUAUGGAAAUAUAGUGUUAAUAAGACUCAAACAGAUAGAUGUUAAAUGACUCUUUGUUGUAAUUAAUUUGUAAUAGAUGUAUAAGUUGUAAUUUUCACUAUUCAAA